UGCUCCUAGUACGAGAGGACCGGAGUGGACGAACCGCUGGUGUUCGGGUUGUGUCGCCAGACGCAUUGCCCGGUAGCUAUGUUCGGAUAGGAUAACCGCUGAAAGCAUCUAAGCGGGAAGCCCCUUCCAAGAUGAGAUCUCCCUGGACCUUUAAGGUCCCUGAAGAGCCGUUCAAGACCAGGACGUUGAUAGGUCGGGUGUGUAAGCGCUGCGAGGCGUUGAGCUAACCGAUACUAAUUGCUCGU
rnacentral:rRNA from 1 species